UCCUCAUGGCUUGCAGAUGGUUACCUUCUC
rnacentral:piRNA from 1 species